UUUAAAAAAAAUGAUUGAUGCAUCAGGGUUGGCGACAUUGAUUGCAUUGUUUUGGAUCGCCAUGUGUGAAAGAGAACUGUGACUGUCCUGCCUUGUGUAUUUCAUGGAAAAAUGGCAAUUUUGGAAUGGAGGCCACUGAAACUGACACGAAGACUGGUGCAAAAGAAUCUUCAAGAAAUAAUCUGCCCA